AGUGAAUAGAUACCCGGGUAGUCCUAGCUGUAAACGCUGCGAGCUGGAUAUUGCGUUUUCUUUGUGAAAAAGCGCAGUGUCGUAACGAAAGUGUUAAGCUCGCCACCUGGGAAGUAUAGUCGCAAGACCCGAAACUUAAAGGAAUUGGCGGGGGCUCACCACAACAGGUGCGGCGUGCGGUUUAAUCUAACUCUACGCAGAGAAUCUCACCAGGAGCGACGGCAGGAUGAAAGUCAGGUUAAUGACCUUACUUAACGAGCCGAGAGGUAUUGCAUGGCCGUCGUCAGCUCGUGCCGUAAGGUGUCUGGUUAAGUCCAGCAACGAGCAAGACCUAUACCUACAAUUGCUAACGAGUUUAAUGAUCGAGCACUUUGUAGGAACUGCCCUUGAAAGGGGGUAGGAAGGUGUAGGCUACGGUAGGUCUGUAUGGUCCGAAUCUUCUGGGCAACACGCGCGCAACAAUGGUAGGAACAAUGGGAUGCAACUCCGUAAACGGAGAAGCUAAUCCUCUAAAUCCUAUCUCAGUACGGAUUGAGGAUUGUAAC
rnacentral:rRNA from 1 species